AACACUCCUAAACCCAUGUGAAACCUACCUUUGUUGCCUCGGCAGGUCUGCAACUUACCCUGAGGGUACCUACCCUGUAGGUACCUUACCCGGUAGUUGCGGGCAUAACCUGCCGGUGGUCUACUAAACUCUGUUUACUAUGUCAUUCUGAAUAAUAUAACUAAAUAAGUUAAAACUUUCAACAACGGAUCUCUUGGUUCUGGCAUCGAUGAAGAACGCAGCGAAAUGCGAUAAGUAAUGUGAAUUGCAGAAUUCAGUGAAUCAUCGAAUCUUUGAACGCACAUUGCGCCCAUUAGUAUUCUAGUGGGCAUGCCUGUUCGAGCGUCAUUUCAACCCUUAAGCCCUGUUGCUUAGCGUUGGGAGCCUACAGAUACCCUCUGUAAUUCCUUAAAGUUAGUGGCGGAGUCGGUUUCACACUCUAGACGUAGUAAAUUUUAUCUCGCCUAUAGAUGAGCCGGUCCCUUGCCGUAAAACCCCCUAAUUUCUAAAGGUUGACCUCGGAUCAGGUAGGAAUACCCGCUGAACUUAAGCAUAUCAAUAAGCGGAGGAAA
rnacentral:rRNA from 1 species